rnacentral:rRNA from 1 species
AGUGAACGCUGGCGGUAGGCCUAACACAUGCAAGUCGAACGGCAGCACAGGAGAGCUUGCUCUCUGGGUGGCGAGUGGCGGACGGGUGAGGAAUACAUCGGAAUCUACUCUGUCGUGGGGGAUAACGUAGGGAAACUUACGCUAGUACCGCAUACGACCUACGGGUGAAAGCAGGGGAUCUUCGGACCUUGCGCGAUUGAAUGAGCCGAUGUCGGAUUAGCUAGUUGGCGGGGUAAAGGCCCACCAAGGCGACGAUCCGUAGCUGGUCUGAGAGGAUGAGCAGCCACACUGGAACUGAGACACGGUCCAGACUCCUACGGGAGGCAGCAGUGGGGAAUAUUGGACAAUGGGCGCAAGCCUGAUCCAGCCAUACCGCGUGGGUGAAGAAGGCCUUCGGGUUGUAAAGCCCUUUUGUUGGGAAAGAAAUCCAGCUGGCUAAUACCCGGUUGGGAUGACGGUACCCAAAGAAUAAGCACCGGCUAACUUCGUGCCAGCCGCCACGGUAA